rnacentral:rRNA from 1 species
UGGCGGACGGGUGAGUAAUGUCUGGGAAACUGCCUGAUGGAGGGGGAUAACUACUGGAAACGGUAGCUAAUACCGCAUAACGUCGCAAGACCAAAGAGGGGGACCUUCGGGCCUCUUGCCAUCGGAUGUGCCCAGAUGGGAUUAGCUAGUAGGUGGGGUAACGACUCACCUAGGCGACGAUCCCUAGCUGGUCUGAGAGGAUGACCAGCCACACUGGAACUGAGACACGGUCCAG